rnacentral:rRNA from 1 species
AGCAGCCGCGGUAAUUCCAGCUCCAAUAGCGUAUAUUAAAGUUGUUGCAGUUAAAAGCUGUAGUUGAAUUUUCGGGUCAUAGUCAGGUCAGUGCCGACCGGUCAUCGGUAUCUGUGCUACUGGUUUCCUCCUUCCUGAAAUCGAAUGCAUGGCAUUUCAAUUUUGGGUCCAGUUGCAUUUGGGAAUUCAGGGUUUAGCCAGGGUAAUGUCAUGGCAUUGCAAAAUUGAUUGAACGUUUGGUUAAAAAAAGCAUUGACUGCAGUGUUUUCGAAAGCCAUGGGACUAACGCAUUGAAG